rnacentral:rRNA from 1 species
UACGAGAGGCCCAAACGUUAUUCGGAAUUACUGGGCUUAAAGAGUUCGUAGGCGGCAUUGCAAGUAGGGUGUGAAAGCCCUCGGCUCAACCGAGGAAUUGCGCUCUAAACUGCAGUGCUUGAGGAAGCUAGAGGUGAGCGGAACUGAUGGUGGAGCGGUGAAAUGCGUUGAUAUCAUCAGGAACACCGGAGGCGAAGGCGGCUCACUGGGGCUUUUCUGACGCUGAGGAACGAAAGCCAGGGUAGCGAACGGG